rnacentral:rRNA from 1 species
UAUACCGUGAAACUGCGAAUGGCUCAUUAAAUCAGUUAUCGUUUAUUUGAUAGUACCUUACUACUUGGAUACCCGUGGUAAUUCUAGAGCUAAUACAUGCUGAAAACCCCAACUUCGGGAGGGGUGUAUUUAUUAGAUAAAAAACCAACGCCCUUCGGGGCUUCUUGGUGAUUCAUGAUAACUUUACGGAUCGCAUGGCCUUGCGCCGGCGACGGUUCAUUCAAAUUUCUGCCCUAUCAACUUUCGAUGGUAAGGUAUUGGCUUACCAUGGUUUCAACGGGUAACGGGGAAUUAGGGUUCGAUUCCGGAGAGGGAGCCUGAGAAACGGCUACCACAUCCAAGGAAGGCAGCAGGCGCGCAAAUUACCCAAUCCCGACACGGGGAGGUAGUGACAAUAAAUACUGAUACAGGGCUCUUUUGGGUCUUGUAAUUGGAAUGAGUACAAUUUAAACCUCUUAACGAGGAACAAUUGGAGGGCAAGUCUGGUGCCAGCAGCCGCGGUAAUUCCAGCUCCAAUAGCGUAUAUUAAAGUUGUUGCAGUUAAAAAGCUCGUAGUUGAAACUUGGGUCUGGCUGGCAGGUCCGCCUCACCGCGUGUACUUGUCCGGCCGGGCCUUCCUUCUGGAGAACCUCAUGCCCUUCACUGGGCGUGUUGGGGACCAGGACUUUUACUUUGAAAAAAUUAGAGUGUUCAAAGCAGGCCUUUGCUCGAAUACGUUAGCAUGGAAUAAUAGAAUAGGACGUGCGGUCCUAUUUUGUUGGUUUCUAGGACCGCCGUAAUGAUUAAUAGGGACAGUCGGGGGCAUCAGUAUUCAAUUGUCAGAGGUGAAAUUCUUGGAUUUAUUGAAGACUAACUACUGCGAAAGCAUUUGCCAAGGAUGUUUUCAUUAAUCAGUGAACGAAAGUUAGGGGAUCGAAGACGAUCAGAUACCGUCGUAGUCUUAACCGUAAACUAUGCCGACUAGGGAUCGGGCGAUGUUCUUUUUCUGACUCGCUCGGCACCUUACGAGAAAUCAAAGUU